AAAAGGCGAUGAAGCGAAAGGUUGUUGACACACCCGGCCCCUUUGCCAUGGCUAGUGAGUCAAGUUUUUUCGCGGAGAAUGUCUAUUUUAAAAAUGGGCGAAGAAGGAGGGAAAAUAAUGGCAA
rfam:Halobacillus mangrovi strain KTB 131, complete genome.